UUUUUUCAUUUUUUUUGAGUCAAAUGGCGAACCGCAAAGAGCAGGAGGAUAUUGAACCCACAAAUGGACUCCGGAUCAGGUCCGACACCUAAUAAGCUUUAGGACUACCAACGAGGAGAAUUUUACAAAGAAGAAAUAUGCUGCUAAACCACUGUGGGAGUGAGUGAUCUAGCUAUCUGCUUGCAGAAUAUCUGUGAUGGGGUCCUUAACCAUGGUAUAACUACUAUUCAUCACUGUUUUCUGUUACAGGAAACUCAUCAAAGAGCUGGAACUGGAGGGAAAGGUGACCACAGCACAAAUUGGCAAAAAAUGGAACACUUUGGAAGACGCCAGCACAUCGGCCUCAAGCUCUGCCUCACCAGCUGGAAGAGGAAGCUGGAGCUUCAGGCAUCAGGUCCACUUUCCCCCCGAUCCCCCCAAAAAAAGAAAUUCUCUAUGCAGGACUUCCUUCAAGCUGAGGCCGCCAAAGAAGACAGAAGAUGUCAAAAGAAUGAAGAACACAUGGACAGGUUUCUGAACCUUUUAGAGAAAAUGGUGGACCAGACACCUCAUCAGCAGUAGCAGCACAUACACUGCAAACUUUUUUUUUUGUAAAUAUUUCUGUGCACAUUUUUUUAUAUGGAAUAUAAGUGCCAUAUUAACAGAGCUACAGCUGAAAUUA